UUGAACGCACAUUGCGCCCGCCAGCACUCUGGCGGGCAUGCCUGUCCGAGCGUCACUCCCACCCCUCCAGCCGCGCUGCCCCGGCGCGCGGGCUGGUUGUUGGGGCGCCCUGCCGGCCCUCUCCGGAGGGCCGCGCAGCCCCCGAAAGACAGUGGCGGGCCCUCCCACCGGCUCCUAGCGAAGCAGAAACAGCACUCGCUCAGGACGCGCCGCGGGACGUCGCCCAGCCGUGAAAGCCUGGCCGCGCCAAACCCUGGCGCGCCACAGGGGGGGAGGUCCUCCUCCCCCCUCCACGGUGGACCUCGGAUCAGGUAGGACUACCCGCUGAACUUAAGCAUAUCAAUAAGCGGAGGAAAAGAAACCAACAGGGAUUGCCUCAGUAACGGCGAGUGAAGCGGCAACAGCUCAAAUUUGAAAUCUGGCCCCCCUCGGGGGCCCGAGUUGUAAUUUGGAGAGGAUGCUUUGGGCGCGGCGCCUUCCGAGUUCCUUGGAACAGGACGCCAGAGAGGGUGAGAGCCCCGUACGGUUGGACGCCUAGCCCGUGUAAAGCUCCUUCGACGAGUCGAGUAGUUUGGGAAUGCUGCUCAAAAUGGGAGGUAAAUUUCUUCUAAAGCUAAAUACUGGCCAGAGACCGAUAGCGCACAAGUAGAGUGAUCGAAAGAUGAAAAGCACUUUGAAAAGAGGGUUAAACAGCACGUGAAAUUGUUGAAAGGGAAGCGCCUGUGGCCAGACUUGCUGCCCGCGGUUCACCUGGCGCCCCCGCGCCAGGGCACGCCGCGGGUCUGCAGGCCAGCAUCGGCUUCCCCAGGGGGAUAAAGGCCGCGGGAACGUAGCU
rnacentral:rRNA from 1 species